UCCUUCUCCCCUUCCCAGCCGCUCACCCCACCGCCCCUCCCGUCCCGCUCGCCUUGGCUGAUGACCGCGCCAUCAUCGACGGCAGCGGUGAGCAUCGGAGCAGCGGUUGUGGCUGGAUGCGAAGAGCUUGCCUCCGGCGGCAGAGGGAACCUGCACACAGAGGGCGACCCCACAGAUUCGUCCCUGCAGAAGAGAAGAUGUGGAGGGAGGAUAGGAUGAGGUAGGCGUGCUGGGGCGGGGUGGUCUCGUCGGCCGCCGGCGACGGCAGAGCGGGCCGGCCGGAGUUGGAUCGAGAUCCCGGCUGGCACCCCAUGGCAGGCAGCGGCAGGAAGGUGGCGUGCGCGGCGUGGAUCCGGCACCGGGAGGACAAGGCCACCCACGUCUUCGUCGUGUACGGCUGGCCCUCCCUGCCGGCCCUGAUGGUUCCCGGCUUCGACUCCGUGAGCUGCUGGCUUUCCGAGGAGCCCCUUGCGAGGACUGUGCUCAGGGAGGACCCACACGACACGCCGCUCGCCAUCGCCGUGCACCCCACCGGCGACGAGCUCAUGUGUAUCACGGCCAAGGGGUGCAGAGCACGACGCCGUCGGGGAGGACGGCAUCGGCAUGCCCGUGUUCACGGUGUACAGUCUCGACGAGCUCCUCGCCGCCACCAACGGCUUCACCAUGGACCACAUCGUCUCCGAGCAUGGCGAGAAGGCGCCCAACAUCCUCUACCGCAGCACCCUCUUUGGCCCUGACCUAGCGUUGCCAGGGUCCGCCUCGGCCAUGGCGAGGUAACUACGGUCCACUAGUCAUCAGCACGGCCUGUCGAGGUACUUGCUCAUGACGUAGCGCGUGCUGCGUCGCACCAAGCUCAGGCCACCCGUUCAACUGUGGGCCGCCGCCGGAGUUCAAGCUCCACACGCCAAGCUCCUUCGACACAGAGACUCGCAGUUAAACAAGAGGAAUUAGAUGCUGGUUUUGAUGUUAAUGCUAACUAUAUAACUCAAGUUGAUGCCAGCAAUGAUGUUGAUGGCCCACCACUCUUUUACAAGCGCAAAAAAACAUACCACAACACUCUGUCCCCACCAGCGCCUCCCUCUCCUCCUUCCCCGCCGCCGCUCGGCUUCCUCCCCUCAUGGCCUCCUCCUUCCACCCCUCCGAUCUGGCGCCUCCCAAACCCUAACGCCUGGCCCCGGCUCCGGCUCCCACGUGAGGGAAGGAGGAAUGGUGAGGCGAGGCAAAGGCGGUGGCGUAUGGGACGCAGCGUGGGGGGUCGGCCUCCUCCUCCCCUACUCCCUCGCCGAUGCCGACGAGGACCGUCAUGGCCGGCGGACUGCUGGUCGUCGAUCCGGUGCCUCGGCCUCCUGCAGCUCCUCCGACCAUCGCUCCCGACAAGGACCCGGCCGAGGUGUUCCGUCCUCUCCUCUCCUCUCAUUCCCCUGCGCAACUGUAAGUGCUUGUGUGCAAAUCAAGUCAAUCUUGCUCUUGUUCAAUAACCAUGGAGGUAAUUAAAAUAGCCAGAUCUUUUCUUAUAGUACUGGAAGUUUUGUUAGUGCCAUGCAACUGCAUACACAGAUGUGGUAUUUUCCAGUUGAAAGGUAGCAAUGUCUAAAGUUAAAUGGUUUCCAUAUAGUGAACUUCAUUGUUUGGCUAAUGGUUAUUUUAACUUAAAUGACCUGGUAAUUGAUGCAAAUCUGUUAUCACCCUUUAUCUUAAAAAAUUGUUGCAUGUUAUCACCCUUUAUCUUAAAAAAUUGUUGCAUGCUCGUGUUUUGUGCUUACAUGUAAGGUUCAUGUGCCUGGUAUUCUUUCAGGUUAUUGUCAGCUGAUAGAUAGGAAUUUAGAGGAAGCAACUUAUAAAUGGGGGGCAAUGAUGUUACUGUUUCUUUUCCUUUUAUUAGCAUGCAUGCCAGGGCUGACUGCCUUGUGCGUAUCAUGGUGAGGAGUAGCAGCAGUACGUCGGCUCGGUCCCAAUGGCAAUGCUGUUUGUUAUUUUGUAUUAUUCAACCACAUAUGUAUGUCUCUUUCUCAUGGCCAUGGUAACUUGAAAAUCUUUAGUGCCAUAUUUGCUCGCUCUGCCGAGCACUGUGGAGGAGGCAAGGGGCCGUUAGGGAGUAAAUCAAACAUUUGAUGAGUGCCGCACGCCCGCAUUCGAUGUCGGAGAGGUCAGAUCACUGCAUUUUUAUGGUGCCACAAAAAUUGUUUUAUUUUCCUCAAUUGCAGCUCCAGCUCUUCUCAUUGCACAUAUGAUGCUCACUUUCACAGAUAUAUUAGGGGGGAAAUCGAUCUCGAAAAUGAUAUAACCAGUCUAUACUAUUGCAUCUAAUCAAUGGCCGAAAGAUUUAAAAAACCAACCUACACUAUUGCUUUUAAAAAACAGGCUGUUUACCAAAGUUAUUAUCUAAGAUGUGAUCAAUGCCCAAGUUACUAUCUAAGAUGUAAUCAAUGCUUUAUUUUGGGUCUGACUGAGUCAAAGAUAAUAGUGCAUGAAGCUUUAUGUGGUUUGCUAUCUAAGAUGUAUGGAAAAUAGGGUACUUGGACCAUUUUGGGUUGGCCCUGUAUCUGGUUUGCUUACUCGAUAUUGACCUCACUGCCACUAUGCCUGCUUCUGAAACUCUUUAGCACAGAACUAUAUGCUCUGUUGCUCUUAAUAAUCAGGCUAAAUGCUUUUGCUUUGUACCGAACUUUAUGCCCUGCUGCACUUGCUAAAUCCUUAUGCUUAAUCGUUUGCAUUUGAACAAAGGUCUACUAUUCUUACUCAUUUGAUGCCUAAUUUAUAUGGUUUGCACCAUUGUAUGCCAUUGAAGAACCAUAUGAAUAAGUUAUCUUGGACUACUGCUAUGAUUUGCUUUUGGUGUACCGUGCUAUCUUUUGAACAGAGGGAUACAACUCUUACUCAUUUGCCACCUAAUUUAUAUGGACCACUGAUUUAUAUGUUUCUUUAUGGCAUAGCAGAAGUGUCCUGCUAGGAACCAAUCCCUAAUUUAUAUGGUUUUUCUAUGCUAUCUUUUGAAGUAGGUGAAGGCGUCUGUCUGAAAGAAAGUGCUAUGCUUUGGUGUUGUUAUAGGUUCCAGAGGGGGCUGAAGAGGAAGCCAUUGGUUUUUAGAAUAUCACAAAAAUGUUCAGUUUUAGUGUCCAGUUCACUGCCAAUUCUCUUACGGCUUUUGUCGUGACCAUGCAAAUCAAUUAUCCCGUGGAUUGACUAUGCCUUGCUUACCUUGCAUUGGGUUUAUUUUGUUGUUUGUGAUAUGGUAAACUCAUCUAUCGUGGAUGGUUACUUUGAUUUUUUAGAUGUAAAUAGUUUCUCAAACCUUCCUACUAACUUCACCAUUACCUGCUUAAUUACAACGUUUGGACCGGAACCUUCGCACCAAGGCGCACAGCCGGCUCCCCGCAAGUACACCUACGCCGCCGCCUCCCCGGGGGGCUGCAAGGUGAAGUGGACGGCCGAGGAGAAGCCGCACGGCGGGACCGGGCUCUCAUGUGGGAGGCGGAGCUCGCCUCCCCCCAACGACGUCAGCUUUGAUCACAAGUGGAAGUGGGAGCCCAAGUCCAAGCCCAGUGCCGCCGGCAAGGCCAAGACCAAGCUCGAGGAAGCCAGUGAGGAUGACAAGAAUAAGCCAGCGAGGAAGUGCACACAGAUCGAGGAGGUCCUCACAGGCUGCGACGCCAUCCGCAAGGAUGAUGACUAUCUAAUGGUGAUUCCCUAUUCCCACAUUUUUUGCCCUCAUGUUGCAAGCUCUAAAGCUGCCCCUGCAAUUUACCAUCACAAGACAUGUCUGGGCAGCAAGUCUCCUGUGACGGUUACUUUUAAUUCGUCAUUACAAUUGUUUGAUGGUUUGCUUGUUCCAACCUCGAUAUCUGCCUUUAGAUUCCCGUUGUUGUCUUUGUAGUGGAAGGUACCACUUGGUGGUAUGUUGCUAUUUUCACUUUGUUUUGAACAAGGCAUGUAUAGAUUUCAGAUUUUAAUUCCUAUCUCUCUGUCGUAAAAAGUAAUGUAUGGUCCUGUGUUUUACCUCUGGUCGUAUGAAAGCACCGAACUUGAUUCUGUUCA